GACGGGUUUCUCCAUGUUGGUCAGGCUGGUCUCGAACUCUCGACCUCAGGUGAUCCACCUGCCUUGGCCUCCCAAAGUGCUGGGAUUACAGGCAUGAACCACUGUGCCAGACCCGAAUCAUCGUUUCUGCACAUGGAGAAAACCACGUGGAGAAAACCGGCAGGAGAAGAGCAUGGGGCAGGGUCUGUAGGAAAUGCUCAGAGAGCUUCCUGGAGGCAGGGCUGGGGAAGGCACAGGGGAGCCCGGCUUCUGCGGACGUUUCCUCCCAGGAUGAGGGAGGCAGGGCUGCUGGAAGACUCACCUUUCCUCUCACUGCACUGCCAUUUGUCCCAACUCAUUUCCGUUCUAUGUUGAUUGGUUCAGAAAACAUCCUAUUUGGCAAAUCCUAAAUAGUCUCACUUUCUGUCAUGGUCGUGGAAUCUCUCCGUCUCGACAAUGGAACCGAAUUGUAAAGCGACUCUAGCUCUGAAUUCCUACCUCUUGCCUUUUGUUUUUUUCCUAGAAAAAGGAAAUGGAAAUCCUUCCUGUUAUUCUCCGCGUCCCUUCGUAGAAGGCUGCCUGAGAGGUCAGCACAGGAGUCCUCUAAGUGCCCUGCAGAGAACACGGGUCUCGGAGCCGGACAAACCUAAAUUUUGAAACCCACUUUGAGUUUGAACUUGGCUGUGGGAAAGUUACACAAUCGCUCUAAGCCUCUGUUUUCUCAUCAGUAAAACAGAGAGGGGUUGCUUGUGUGAGAAGUGGCCGCUGCCAAUCAUCUGCGUGUCCUUCACUCUCCCAGGGGCCAUGGGUCUGUAUUCUACACAUGUGGGAUCUUCCUCUGGACCCUUCGGACAUGGUCCACACGCUGCCCUCAGGAUCUGCUGGGGUCUGCAUGGGGGGUGAGACGUGAACCCCAACCACGUUCACCACAGAGAGGAAACUGGGGGGAUGGAGGGGGGGACAAGGCCAGGUCACCUUCAGGUGCCGCCCGCCAGCAAGGCGGUUUGCACCCGGCUGAAUGAGCUUUAAAAAAGACAGUUUUUUCUGUAGUUUAGAAUCAUGGUUUCACUAAAUGGUGAAAUAAUUUUAUGCCACUUCCCCUACUAAUUACCAUCUCAUUGUUAUUAGAAAGGAUGGUUUCCUUGAAGUCUAGAAAAUUUUGUUCCAGUCCAUUUCAACGGUGCAGGAGAAACGUGGCUUCCAUUCCGAGGAAGACGGCGACACCUAGUGACCGUUCCCUCGCGGUGCGAUGGCCUCACACCUGUGCGGCGGGUCGUCCGGGGCGUAGGGUGCUGCGGCCUUGCGGUCUUCCCUGCGCUGCAAGGCAGGGCAUGGUGGCAGAUUAACACCUGGAUGAACACGGGCAGGUCAGGAGACAAAUAAAACCCAGAGGUCUUUGAAACUUCAAAAUCCCGUAGGGUGUGUGACCCCAGUGAGCCCCACGCUACAUCCAGCGAGAACCGAGAAGUGAUGGUGCAGACAUUCUUGGGUCCCCCAGACAGAACACACCGGGAGUUACUGCCUCUUUCUCAUCCCGAGUCCUCCUGACUUUCCCCAGCACCCAUCGUGGCUGCAGCCAGGACACAGGUAAAUGUAAUUUCCCUCCCCUUCCAUCCUCGCUUUCACAUCGGUGUGAUUGACUGAGGGCCUGCAGACUCUCUCCACGUGCGGGUGCCCUGCAGCCUGACACACAAAUGCGUUCAUCCUUCCCCUUUAUCCUGACCCCGAACUAAUGACGCAGCUUCCUGAGACACAGAGGAUGCUUCUCCUCGUCCCCCCUCGCGCUCUGAAGUGGGAAAAGAUGUGUUCCAUCUGUUCUGGAAUUUUCACUGUAAAGAAGAGAAUGAAUUUUAACUGUGUUUUUGACAUAUCCCUAAACAAGAAGUGGUUUAUAGAGUGAAACCAUUUUCCCUUCAUCUAAAAUUUAAAAAAAAAAAAAAAGAGAGAGAAAAGUGCAAGACUGAAGAUGUGUGUUGAGCGGGGUGAGGAAGCGUGGGGGACUCGGCGCUGGAGGAGCCCCGGGUGUGUUUAGGGUUUGUGGUCAGGGGCCCUGGGCACCAGGUCCAGUCUGAAGCACCCGGGGGGAUGGACGAUGUUUGUGUAAGAGAGGGACAAAGGGAUGGCAGGGUGGCCAAGCAGAGACGCGAUUCCCUCUGUGCCCUUCCUGGACCAGCUUUGUAUUCUAACAGCAACGUCUCUGUUCUUGGGAAGAGCUCCUCGGUGAUUACCUGCCCGCCCCUUGUCUCCUCUUAUUCCCGCUGCCACAGGGCAGGGCCGCCCAGCUCCAGCUCAGACACACACCUGCUCCAACUGCUGUGCUGGUCACAGGCCCAGAGCACCACGUGUCCUCUGGGGUCUGUGUGGUCGGCGCCGUGCGUGGGACCACUGUGAGUGACCCUCCUCUUGUGUCACAGAGCCACUGUACCCGUGUGCACCUGUGCUCUGAGACCUGGAUACCCCUGGAAGGACAGACACCGAGGACCCGAGUGCACUGGAGUCCCGCUCCCACAGAUCCUGCUGCUGGGAGAACUGUCAGCCAGGAACGGGACUGCGGUGGGGAAUUCCUUCUGUCAACACACUUUCUAAUCUAAGCUCCAGACUCCACUUCCAGACUAGCACAGGCUUUUUCCCCCACAUCUCCUUCUCUGCAGCCGGGGCUCCUGCCGGGUCUGCGGAGCCCAGAGCCAUGCUCUCUGCCGACUCCAUCUCCAGAUGCCUGCCCCGGCACCCACGCUGUUGCCAGGACACCAGUGAACCCAGACAGGGAGCUGGGAGAUGGGAACAUCACUAGACCACGAGCCGGAAUUGCUGCAGGAGGAUUCCCACACUCUGGGCCUCCGUGGGCACCACGAGGACUGGACGUGCGACCCCAGCUCUCUGGGUCUCAGUUUCGUCUCCUGCAGAGCAUCUGAGCUAGACCGUCUCUAAAAUUUCAUCAAGCUCCUGUAUUCCAUUCUAUUCUGAGAUGCCCAAUUCUUAUGCCUGCUAAAAACCACAGUGAGAAAUAAUAACCUAUGUCCACAUUUUUGUUUCCUAGGAGAAAUAUCAACAUGCGUCUGCCAAAUAAAAUAUUGUAUUAAAUGAGUUAUUUCAAAAAGUAUUCUUUGACCACCUCAACAUGUGUUAAAAGGAAUGCCACAUGUUAAAAGGAAUGCCUCAUGUUACACGGAGUCCUUCUAGGGU
rnacentral:lncRNA from 10 species